AUUGAGCGCUGGCGGCAGGCUUAACACAUGCAAGUCGAGCGGGGUGAUGGUGCUUGCACUAUCACUUAGCGGCGGACGGGUGAGUAAUGCUUAGGAAUCUGCCUAUUAGUGGGGGACAACAUCUCGAAAGGGAUGCUAAUACCGCAUACGUCCUACGGGAGAAAGCAGGGGAUCACUUGUGACCUUGCGCUAAUAGAUGAGCCUAAGUCGGAUUAGCUAGUUGGUGGGGUAAAGGCCUACCAAGGCGACGAUCUGUAGCGGGUCUGAGAGGAUGAUCCGCAACACUGGGACUGAGAAACGGCCCAGACUCCUACGGGAGGCAGCAGUGGGGAAUAUUGGACAAUGGGGGGAACCCUGAUCUAGCCAUGCCGCGUGUGUGAAGAAGGCCUUAUGGUUGUAAAGCACUUUAAGCGAGGAGGAGGCUCUUUUGGUUAAUACCCAAGAUGAGUGGACGUUACUCGCAGAAUAAGCACCGGCUAACUCUGUGCCAGCAGCCGCCGUAA
rnacentral:rRNA from 1 species